AAGUGCCGCGGCCGCGCCGUGACCCGGAAGCGGCACCGGGAGCGGCGGGAGCGGGACCGGGAGGAACCAUGAGCCUGCUGAACAAGCCCAAGAGCGAGAUGACGCCGGAGGAGCUGCAGAAGCGGGAGGAGGAGGAGUUCAACACGGGCCCACUGUCGGUGCUCACGCAGAGCGUCAAGAACAACACGCAGGUGCUCAUCAACUGCCGCAACAACAAGAAGCUGCUGGGCCGCGUCAAGGCCUUCGACAGGCACUGCAACAUGGUGCUGGAGAACGUGAAGGAGAUGUGGACUGAGGUGCCCAAGAGCGGGAAGGGCAAGAAGAAAUCCAAGCCCGUGAACAAGGACCGCUACAUCUCCAAGAUGUUCCUGCGCGGGGACUCCGUCAUCGUCGUCCUGCGCAACCCCCUCAUCGCCGGGAAGUAGGAAAGCCACCCCAGGAAACCCCCUGGCAGCCCCCCGGACCCUCUUGGGUCCAUCAAGACCCUCCUGGAUCCCUCAAGACCCUCCUGGAUCCCUCAAGACCCUCCUGGAUCCCCCCUUGACCCUCUCACAUCCCCCAGGACCCUCCUGAAUUCCCCAGGACCCUCUCGGAUCCCUCAAGACCCUCCUGGAUCCCCCAGGACCCU